rnacentral:lncRNA from 1 species
CAAUAAUUCAAAAAUUCCAGCACCAACUGAAAUCUGUAACCAACGAGCUAACAAACUCACCCCAAAUUUCCUCAAAACCUAAAACAGUAGACACUAUAGACCAACCCAUGUCCCCAAACUAACAAAACAUCGGUCUAAAAUCGUCACAGGCACCGGCCACCACCUCGCUGGCACCACAACGUCAUCACCGAAAACUCCAGGCCACACCUCUUGGUGUUUAUCAACAACCCUAAACUUCACCAUCCAAGCCCAGAGUCAAAAGCCCCGUGUCCACGUCAACAACAAAACAGUCGUUGCAGUAAUUUCAAGUUCCGACCGCAAUCAGUCAACCUCAAGCACCUAGGAUAUGUUCGGCUCAGCAUCUGUCUUGGGUUUCUUGCCCUAAUUAAAUAACGUGUUUGUUUUAUUAUAUAGAGUAAUUUGGGCAUUUUGUAUUUUGGUUCAUUCAUUUAUAUAAAGGGAAAAAAAUAAGAAAACGGAAGGGAAAAAAAAAAAAAGAAGAAAUUGA